UGGGGAAUAUUGGACAAUGGGCGAAAGCCUGAUCCAGCCAUGCCGCGUGUGUGAAGAAGGUCUUCGGAUUGUAAAGCACUUUAAGUUGGGAGGAAGGGCAGUAAGCUAAUACCUUGCUGUUUUGACGUUACCGACAGAAUAAGCACCGGCUAACUCUGUGCCAGCAGCCGCGGUAAUACAGAGGGUGCAAGCGUUAAUCGGAAUUACUGGGCGUAAAGCGCGCGUAAGGUGGUUUGUUAAGUUGGAUGUGAAAGCCCCGGGCUCAACCUGGGAACUGCAUCCAAAAACUGGCAAGCUAGAGUACGGUAGAGGGUGGUGGAAUUUCCUGUGUAGCGGUGAAAUGCGUAGAUAUAGGAAGGAACACCAGUGGCGAAGGCGACCACCUGGACUGAUACUGACACUGAGGUGCGAAAAGCGUGGGGAGCAAAACAGGAUUAGAUACCCUGGUAGUCCACGCCGUAAAAACGAUGUCAAACUAGCCGUUGGAAUCCUUGAGAUUUUAAGUGGCGCAGCUAACGCAUUAAAGUUGACCGCCUGGGGAGUACGGCCGCAAGGUUAAAAACUCAAAAGGAAUUGACGGGGUCAUAGCUGUUUCCUG
rnacentral:rRNA from 1 species